UACGUAGGGUGCGAGCGUUGUCCGGAAUUACUGGGCGUAAAGAGCUCGUAGGUGGUUUGUCGCGUUGUUCGUGAAAACUCACAGCUUAACUGUGGGCGUGCGGGCGAUACGGGCAGACUGGAGUACUGCAGGGGAGACUGGAAUUCCUGGUGUAGCGGUGGAAUGCGCAGAUAUCAGGAGGAACACCUGUGGCGAAGGCGGCCCCCUGGGCCGGCCCUGACACUGAGACGCGAAGGCGUGGGGAGCGAACGGG
rnacentral:rRNA from 1 species